UUGGUAUCUGUGUGAGGUACACUGCUGAUGAAGCCUGGGCUCUUGUGGAAUGAGUGGUCAUGAUGGCUGGAGAUGAGAAAUUUGUCUGUUCAUAGCAAGCUUGAAUACAGGUGGUUAUCCAGAACAAGAUUCUUUGGGUUGACACGAGCAGCCUUUAUUCUUUCCAAUAUUGCUACAAAGCAUUGCAGAAGGACUUAGUCCUCUCACUAUAAAAGGUCCACCUAGGAAGGCCCCCACACCUUUGGAAGAUGCCACUGAUGACCUCCAAGUGAAGAGACCACUUGUGGUGAUAGAAGGACCUGCUGAGGUGAUCCGCCAACACAUUCUGGGCUCCCGGGAGCAGGCCCAGUGCCCUGACAGUGGUUUGGACUGUGCUGAUGCUGUCUUGCACUUGAGCCUGCGACUGACCUUUGAUCAUCCAUGCAUUGAGGGCUCCUGUCUUGGAGAUCCUUAGAACCGAGGAGGCUGCUGGGGCCUGAAAUGUUUUCUGGAGGCAGAUGGGGCAUACAGGCCUAAGGAUCGUAUGGUGGCUGUGGCCCUUGAGUCCUUCAGUCUAUGAAGUCCAUCUGCUCCAAGAAAAGGGAGGAGCCUUCAAAUGGGAUGUCCUGGAUUGACUGUUGAACCUCAUGGGGAAGGCUGAAGGACUGGAGCCAGGAACAGCGCCUCAUGGUGACUGUGGAGGCCAUUGUCCAGACUGACGAGUCGGCAGCAUCCAGAGCCACCUGGAGAGAAGUCCUGGCCACGUUCUUACUCUCUCCUAAGAGGGUUGCAAACUCCUGUCUUGAACUUAUUCAGGAAGUCCCAUAGAUUAAAAUCGUAUCUCCCCAGCAAAGCUCAUUGGCGAUAUA